rnacentral:misc_RNA from 1 species
UUGGGUCUGCUUGAGAAAACAAGAUCAUGUGUUUUCAUGACCUCGCGGGCCGCCUCUACGGACGAGACAAUGAUCACAGGCUUGCUACCAAAAUGAAGCAACAUGAGAGGACCAUAACGCUGAGCCAAAGGGACGAGGGAGCGGUGAGGGUAAAGCCCAACUCUGUGGAGGUUUCCAAAAAGUGGGAGCUUCGGCGGUGAAGGCGGGAGGCUUUUGUGGGUUGCAGCUGGGGGAGAAGUGAGCCAUUUGAUGAAGAAAUAUGCAAAGAAGACGAAGCAAAGGAUUGACAAACACAGAGGAUGCAACAAGGUCACCUGAUGAUCUAACAAAUCCAUUUCCCUAACAACCAUUUAUUCAGUAAACCAAUAGAGCUUUCAAUAAGAGGAGGUGAAUAAUAUGUAUA